rfam:Corchorus olitorius cultivar O-4 contig12640, whole genome shotgun sequence.
GGGUGAGAUCAUACCAGCACUAAUGCAUCAGAUUCCAGUAUUAAUGUAUCGGAUCCCAUCAGAACUCCGCAGUUAAGCGUGUUUGGACGAGAGUAGUAUUAGGAUGAGUGACCUCUUGGGAAGUCCUCGUAUUGCACCCC